UGUAAAAGCCUUAGGUAUCAGUUUCCUGUAACCUCCUCCCCUACCUCUCAUCUGGCUAUCUGUAAUAAAAUGUGCUGUUCUUUAAGAAAUGCUUAACUUCAAGGAAAUUACAGGAAGUUCUAUAAAUCCCAGAUGCUACCUAACUGUGUCAGCGAUUACAACAUUCCUGUGGUUUUCAGCUUUAAAACCCAACCUUUCUAGCUGUAAGGUGUGCAGUCUCCAAAUUGGCUCCUGGAGACUGUGAUGCCAGGCCUGGCCUAAAAUAAAGCCUUUGCUCCCCAAAUUUUAAUUUCUUGCUUUCUUGGGUUUUAUUCCAGGGUCUGAGCUGUCACAUUUGGGGGCUCAUCCGGGGUGGGAGCAAGACCCCAGACUUAUUUCUGAACAUUUAAAAUUAUUUCACUGCUGCCCACUGUGAGCUGGAGAGCCUGAACACCUAGACACCCGUCCUCAUCAAGCAACAUCACCGUGAAUCUCUUGAGCCACAAUGAACUGUAAAAGUAGCCGAAAGCCUGCCAGGAUUCAUUGUUCCCACUGCAAGCAGACCCUGGCUUCCAAAGGCAAUCAGCCUGCAGAUAAGUAAACUGUCAUUUCUUCCAAGGACUCUUUAAAGCUUAAGAUUGCCAAAUGUAACUGGUAAUCUUGUGUUCUCCUUUAUAGAGACCCGAGGAGACCUCUGUCUGACUUUAAAAAAUAGUUACUUGUAUGAUAAAACAGAGUAAAUGUAAAUGUUGGUUUUCUUUCUCCUUUUGGUUAGCAGUUUUAAUAAUGACAGCAGUAAGACCUUUGUUAAUCCUCCUAUUGGGCCUUGUAUUGUAAACAAGUUGAUAAACUAUUGCAAAGAUCUUAAAAGCUUGUGAUUUUAAAGACACACACAAGGUUAUAAGCAGAUGCUUAUGAGUCAAUGAUUUGACUCACUGACUAAAAUCAGUGGGGAAUGUUGUACACUGGAAAAACAGCUUUGUUAUAUGUAUAUUAUACCAAAACCUGUAAUGUGGCCUUACUGUAUAUAUGUUUUCCUUUUCCUUCUGGGUGAGCUAAUUGAUAUGUUAAUCAAUGCUCUCCUCUGUAAAGAAUUGUAAAAUCUUACCUAAUUGAUAUGUUAACCAUUGUUGCCCUCCAAAAAUAACAGACGUGGUGCUAAAAUAAGCUAACAAAGGCUGUUAAUUACUGCUAGACUUUUCUAUUCUCUGCUGAGGAAAACAGGAUUUCUUCUUAUCUAAACUUUCUUGUUUGCAGGGAAACUUGCUUGUUAGCACAACCCUUAACUGAUCUUGCUCUUCCCAAGAAAUGUAAUCUCACCAUGUUCCUCUUCUGUAGGAAGGCCUGAGAGAGGAGGGUGCUGAAUUUGAUUUUCCAAACCACCCCACAGGCAGCUGGAAGUUUCAGUUUUUGCAGCCCUUUCCCAAAUACAUCAUUCUGCAGAUCAAGGCCCAAGAAGCAGCAGCUGGGGCCACAGGAACCCCAUUUUAACAGACAGAAAUAAGAGUAGAUGAAGGGUAGGGACAGCACCACCAACCCAGUUUUCUUAGCUCCAGUGGCCCCAAGAAAACCUGCACCUCCCCUGGUGCAGAUAAGAAGGGCUGCCUCACCCAGAGCUUGACAGAGGAGGGAACUGGCUGCAUCAAAGAACAGGCAGGCCUCUCACCCAUGUUAAAUGCAGGCUCCUGGGAGUGGGUUCAAGUAUCUCUUUUUCCAAACCAUAUUUCUAAGAGCCUCCUCAAGUGGUUUUUCCCUUGCCUUUGCUCCCUCCACAUCUCCAACCCCCCAACAGGCUUAUGACCUUGGUGUCUUUAGAUGCUAAUGCCAGGGAGAGGGGCAAUGAGAAAUGGGGACACAUCUGGAUCCUUUUCCUGAGCAGGGCUGUUGCUCAGAGGGCAGGCACUUCAGGGCUUUAACUGCAGUUUUCAGCCUCUGCCACUGAGCCAGGAGAACCUCUCUGCAGGCAGAGGCGCCAAGUGCUAUACUCUCUCCACUCCACAGUCUAUGACCAGGUGCAAUUCCUCAGGAUUAGAGGCCACUUUCACUCUAAAGAAUGUCUUUUUGCCUCACUCUUGCAGAGUUGCCACCCUGCACACUGCUCUCUGCCUUCGCAGAGGAAGGCUGAUCCCCAGGGAAGUUGUACCAGCCUACUUCUAAGAACCCCUCAUGCCACAGCCUUGCUUGAUGACUGCUUUUGAAGGAGUGAAGGUCCCCUCUAGCUACACACUUGAGGAACACCUGCUGCAGAGUCCAUUGGACUUUGCCAUCAUCCACUUCAUUAAUUCACAUGGAGAAAGGUAUCACUUGAAUAGUAUGUGAAGUCUGCCAAAUGACUGGUAUUUGGCUGCACUCUUGAGAGACAGGUGAUCCACUCUGCAUGUGGUGAUGUGAGUACACUGGGCCAAUCAUCAAGACAGCCGGAUCAUCCUCCAUGUGUGCCCCCUGCAUCGUACCAUGACCGCCCAAAAAUGAACUGAACUAUAUGAACCAAAAAGAAGAGCUGACCACAGGUAGCCUUCAAAGGGUGCUUCUGUGGCCUGCUGUAGUGGUGAAGCCUAUAAUGCAGCACUUGGAAGGCUGAGGCAGAAGGAUUGCUAGGCUAUAAAGUGAGUUCAAGGCAAACCUGCACUACUUGGCAAUACUCUGUCUCAAAAAACCACACCAGAACAAAAGGGGUGCUUCUGCAAUCUUUUUGUUGGCCUAGGAAGUCCAGUUUGGUUUUAUUCUUACCAUGAGCAAGUAAAAAUUGAAAGGUUUUGGCCCAGACAGGACACUGUAGCCAGGAAAGCCACAACCGGAAGCAGGAAGCUCCAUCUUGCCCUGCCCCUAGGAAGUUACCUGUGAUGCCAUCUUCCCGCCCCUGGGAAUUUACAUAUGGCGCCAAACCUAGGACCAAUGGGCUACCUGUGUAUCCCUAAUGCCCGCCUUAGGUUCCACCCCAAACCGAGGCUAUUUACAGGCCCCCACACCGCGUGUCCGCCGGAGAGAUCACUGGACGCCAGCGGUGGGGUUGCCGGUCAUCUCUCUCCGUGUUCUCAGAAUAAAGGCCGCUUUUUAUUUUAUA